GUAGGGUGCGAGCGUUAUCCGGAAUUAUUGGGCGUAAAGAGCUCGUAGGCGGUUUGUCGCGUCUGUCGUGAAAGUCCGGGGCUUAACCCCGGAUCUGCGGUGGGUACGGGCAGACUAGAGUGCAGUAGGGGAGACUGGAAUUCCUGGUGUAGCGGUGGAAUGCGCAGAUAUCAGGAGGAACACCGAUGGCGAAGGCAGGUCUCUGGGCUGUAACUGACGCUGAGGAGCGAAAGCAUGGGGAGCGAACAGGAUUAGAUACCCUGGUAGUCCAUGCCGUAAACGUUGGGCACUAGGUGUGGGGACCAUUCCACGGUUUCCGCGCCGCAGCUAACGCAUUAAGUGCCCCGCCUGGGGAGUACGGCYKMAAGGCUA
rnacentral:rRNA from 1 species